GAUAAACGCUGGCGGCGCACAUAAGACAUGCAAGUCGAACGAACUUAACUCAUUCUUUACGAUUGAGAGCGGUUAGUGGCGGACUGGUGAGUAACACGUAAGCAACCUGCCUAUUAGAGGGGAAUAACAGUGAGAAAUCAUUGCUAAUACCGCAUAUGCUCACAGCAACACAUGUUGCAGUGAGGAAAGGAGCAAUCCGCUAAUAGAUGGGCUUGCGUCUGAUUAGCUAGUUGGCGGGGUAACGGCCCACCAAGGCGACGAUCAGUAGCCGGACUGAGAGGUUGAUCGGCCACAUUGGGACUGAGAUACGGCCCAGACUCCUACGGGAGGCAGCAGUGGGGAAUAUUGGGCAAUGGACGCAAGUCUGACCCAGCAACGCCGCGUGAAGGAAGAAGGCUUUCGGGUUGUAAACUUCUUUUACCAGGGUACGAAGAACGUGACGGUACCUGGAGAAAAAGCAACGGCUAACUACGUGCCAGCAGCCGCGGU
rnacentral:rRNA from 1 species